AGUGAACGCUGGCGGUAGGCCUAACACAUGCAAGUCGAACGGCAGCACAGUAAGAGCUUGCUCUUACGGGUGGCGAGUGGCGGACGGGUGAGGAAUACAUCGGAAUCUACUUUUUCGUGGGGGAUAACGUAGGGAAACUUACGCUAAUACCGCAUACGACCUACGGGUGAAGGCAGGGGAUCUUCGGACCUUGCGCGAUUGAAUGGGCCGAUGUCGGAUUAGCUAGUUGGCGGGGUAAAGGCCCACCAAGGCGACGAUCCGUAGCUGGUCUGAGAGGAUGAUCAGCCACACUGGAACUGAGACACGGUCCAGACUCCUACGGGAGGCAGCAGUGGGGAAUAUUGGACAAUGGGCGCAAGCCUGAUCCAGCCAUACCGCGUGGGUGAAGAAGGCCUUCGGGUUGUAAAGCCCUUUUGUUGGGAAAGAAAAGCAGCAGGUUAAUACCCCGCUGUUCUGACGGUACCCAAAGAAUAGCACCGGCUAACUUCGUG
rnacentral:rRNA from 1 species